AACGAACGCUGGCGGCAUGCCUAACACAUGCAAGUCGAACGAGACCUUCGGGUCUAGUGGCGCACGGGUGCGUAACGCGUGGGAACCUGCCCUUAGGUUCGGAAUAACUCCCCGAAAGGGGUGCCAAUACCGGAUAAUGUCUACUGACCAAAGAUUUAUCGCCCUUGGAUGGGCCCGCGUUGGAUUAGCUAGUUGGGAGGGUAAAAGCAUACCAAGGCGACGAUCCAUAGCUGGUCCGAGAGGAUGAUCAGCCACACUGGGACUGAGACACGGCACAGACUCCUACGGGAGGCAGCAGUGGGGAAUAUUGGACAAUGGGCGAAAGCCUGAUCCAGCAAUGCCGCGUGAGUGAUGAAGGCCUUAGGGUUGUAAAGCUCUUUUAACCGGGAUGAUAAUGACAGUACCGGGAGAAUAAGCUCCGGCUAACUCCGUG
rnacentral:rRNA from 1 species